rnacentral:tRNA from 1 species
GCCGACUUAGCUCAGUGGUAGAGCACUCGCUUCACACGCGAUAGGUCAGAAGUUCGAAUCUUCUAGUCGGCACCA